AAGAGUAGGGCGGGACACGUGGUAUCCUGUCUGAAUAUGGGGGGACCAUCCUCCAAGGCUAAAUACUCCUGACUGACCGAUAGUGAACCAGUACCGUGAGGGAAAGGCGAAAAGAACCCCGGCGAGGGGAGUGAAAAAGAACCUGAAACCGUGUACGUACAAGCAGUGGGAGCACCUUCGGGUGUGACUGCGUACCUUUUGUAUAAUGGGUCAGCGACUUAUAUUCUGUAGCAAGGUUAACCGUAUAGGGGAGCCGCAGGGAAACCGAGUCUUAACUGGGCGUUAAGUUGCAGGGUAUAGACCCGAAACCCGGUGAUCUAGCCAUGGGCAGGUUGAAGGUUGGGUAACACUAACUGGAGGACCGAACCGACUAAUGUUGAAAAAUUAGCGGAUGACUUGUGGCUGGGGGUGAAAGGCCAAUCAAACCGGGAGAUAGCUGGUUCUCCCCGAAAGCUAUUUAGGUAGCGCCUCGUGAAUUCAUCUUCGGGGGUAGAGCACUGUUUCGGCUAGGGGGUCAUCCCGACUUACCAACCCGAUGCAAACUACGAAUACCGAAGAAUGUUAUCACGGGAGACACACGGCGGGUGCUAACGUCCGUCGUGAAGAGGGAAACAACCCAGACCGCCAGCUAAGGUCCCAAAGUCAUGGUUAAGUGGGAAACGAUGUGGGAAGGCACAGACAGCCAGGAUGUUGGCUUAGAAGCAGCCAUCAUUUAAAGAAAGCGUAAUAGCUCACUGGUCGAGUCGGCCUGCGCGGAAGAUGUAACGGGGCUAAACCAUGCACCGAAGCUGCGGCAGCGACACUAUGUGUUGUUGGGUAGGGGAGCGUUCUGUAAGCCUGCGAAGGUGACCUGUGAGGGUUGCUGGAGGUAUCAGAAGUGCGAAUGCUGACAUAAGUAACGAUAAAGCGGGUGAAAAGCCCGCUCGCCGGAAGACCAAGGGUUCCUGUCCAACGUUAAUCGGGGCAGGGUGAGUCGACCCCUAAGGCGAGGCCGAAAGGCGUAGUCGAUGGGAAACAGGUUAAUAUUCCUGUACUUGGUGUUACUGCGAAGGGGGGACGGAGAAGGCUAUGUUAGCCGGGCGACGGUUGUCCCGGUUUAAGCAUGUAGGCUGGUUGUCCAGGCAAAUCCGGAUAAUCAAGGCUGAGGUGUGAUGACGAGGCACUACGGUGCUGAAGUAACAAAUGCCCUGCUUCCAGGAAAAGCCUCUAAGCAUCAGGUAACAUCAAAUCGUACCCCAAACCGACACAGGUGGUCAGGUAGAGAAUACCAAGGCGCUUGAGAGAACUCGGGUGAAGGAACUAGGCAAAAUGGUGCCGUAACUUCGGGAGAAGGCACGCUGGUGUGUAGGUGAAGCCCCUGCGGGUGGAGCUGAGACCAGUCGAAGAUACCAGCUGGCUGCAACUGUUUAUUAAAAACACAGCACUGUGCAAACACGAAAGUGGACGUAUACGGUGUGACGCCUGCCCGGUGCCGGAAGGUUAAUUGAUGGGGUUAUCCGUAAGGAGAAGCUCUUGAUCGAAGCCCCGGUAAACGGCGGCCGUAACUAUAACGGUCCUAAGGUAGCGAAAUUCCUUGUCGGGUAAGUUCCGACCUGCACGAAUGGCGUAAUGAUGGCCAGGCUGUCUCCACCCGAGACUCAGUGAAAUUGAACUCGCUGUGAAGAUGCAGUGUACCCGCGGCAAGACGGAAAGACCCCGUGAACCUUUACUAUAGCUUGACACUGAACAUUGAGCCUUGAUGUGUAGGAUAGGUGGGAGGCUUUGAAGCGUGGACGCCAGUCUGCGUGGAGCCAACCUUGAAAUACCACCCUUUAAUGUUUGAUGUUCUAACGUUGGCCCCUGACCGGGGUUGCGGACAGUGUCUGGUGGGUAGUUUGACUGGGGCGGUCUCCUCCCAAAGCGUAACGGAGGAGCACGAAGGUUAGCUAAUCCUGGUCGGACAUCAGGAGGUUAGUGCAAUGGCAUAAGCUAGCUUGACUGCGAGCGUGACGGCGCGAGCAGGUGCGAAAGCAGGUCAUAGUGAUCCGGUGGUUCUGAAUGGAAGGGCCAUCGCUCAACGGAUAAAAGGUACUCCGGGGAUAACAGGCUGAUACCGCCCAAGAGUUCAUAUCGACGGCGGUGUUUGGCACCUCGAUGUCGGCUCAUCACAUCCUGGGGCUGAAGUAGGUCCCAAGGGUAUGGCUGUUCGCCAUUUAAAGUGGUACGCGAGCUGGGUUUAGAACGUCGUGAGACAGUUCGGUCCCUAUCUGCCGUGGGCGCUGGAGAAUUGAGGGGGGCUGCUCCUAGUACGAGAGGACCGGAGUGGACGCAUCACUGGUGUUCGGGUUGUCAUGCCAAUGGCACUGCCCGGUAGCUAAAUGCGGAAGAGAUAAGUGCUGAAAGCAUCUAAGCACGAAACUUGCCCCGAGAUGAGUUCUCCCUGAGACUUUAAGUCUCCUGAAGGAACGUU
rnacentral:rRNA from 1 species